AAACCGGCCCUUUUCAGGGCCACUAAUUGUUUUUUCAUUGGAACU
rfam:Apis mellifera strain DH4 linkage group 1, whole genome shotgun sequence.